CCAACCCAACAAGGGCCAGACCCGGCCUAAUUCGUGAAAUAAGGAAAGGGGCCAAGUCCCCAUUUGCCAUUUUCGGUCAACCAAACGCAGCCUCCCCUUACCCUUUCCCCUUUCUCUCCAAAAACCCUAGCCGUCUCCGAGCGAUCUUCUCUCUCCUCGUUACCAUGGCUGUUUAUAGUAAAAUGGUAGGAAAAGGAAGACUUGCCCAGGUCUGGCAUGGCCAAAACGAGCAAAGCAUUAUAUGCUCUCACUCGUUUUCACCUAAUGCAGCCCAAACACGUUAUUAUUUCUUUAUUUUUACAUAUUUAACGGCAGAGUCCAUAUCUCUGGAAAUUUUAUGUUACGUGUCUAUCUAUUUAGUGUUCCAGAUUUUAAUGUAGUUAUCCAUUGUUUAGAGAUUUCUAUUUUAUUUUUGGGAAAAAAGCAAUGAAAAGAAUGGGGGCUUCCUCUGAUGGCAUGAAAUCUUUGAGAACUGAAUUAUCUAUUUUGAUGACAAUUACAAGCAUCUUUUCUGAGGACUCCCCCAUUUCCAUUUAAAGUUUUAUGUGCUUCUUUUUGAAAAAAAAAAAAAAAGAUGAUUGAUUUACGAUUUCUUUUAUUUAUAUUAUUUCUUCCGUCCCAAAAAGAUUGUCCUCUUUUGUCUUGACAUAAAGUUUAAGAAUUAAAAGAAGACUUUUAAAAUGUAUGGUCUAAAAUAAGUAUUAAAUAUUUGUGUAGCGGUAAAUCAUUUCAUAAAGUUAAAUUGUUUCAAAAUAUAGAAAAGAGAUAAUCUUUUUUAAACAGACUAAAAGGAAAAGAAGGACAAUUUUUUGGGACAGAGGGAUUAGUUCUUAUCGUCUUUUUUUUUUCUUCUCUUUAAAUUAACUCUUUGUAAUUUGUUUUAAACUGUUGAGAUGAUGAUCGCACUGGGCUCUGAACAGUUUGAUAAUAAACUGUAUAUUUUGAUGGACAAAUGCAGCCUAGAAAGCUACGUCUGAUCACCUCUUCCACGAUGCACAACUUUAUUUUGUGAAACGCUAUAUUCGUAUUGAUUAUUUUCAGUAAUAUCUUUUUCUAACAUGAAAUAUUAAAUAAAUCUUUGGUUCAGAUA